AUUAUUUAUAAUUAGCAUGUGUAGUUACAAUAAAUAUAUCAUAAUGCUUAUUAAUCCUUAACCAUUUGGUCAGUGGGUGAGUGGGUGCUACUGUCUGAAGUUGGCAUUUGCCCCCUCUAGGGAGGCUGGCUUAUUGUCCCUUAGACUCCCCAGCACUAAGUGUGCACCUGGCCCGCGCUGGUCGGAGCUGGCAGCCCUCAGGGUCAGGAUCCCUGUUAGGAGUGCCUUGGUCUCCAGAAGGCUGUCUGUACCCCACCCUCUUUCCUAUAGAGCUGGACUCCAGGAGCCUGGCCUGAGGGCUUCCUGGGCAGGUUGCCAGUGCAGAGAACUAAUGGGCAGGCGCACUGUGAGCUCCAGGAAGUGGUUGGCUGUUCCUGGGCUGGUCUGCAGCCUGCCUUGGACAUGACGGGUGUAGACAGGAGCCGAGACUAUUACUUUCCCAGAGCCCAGCAGCUCUGGGCCAGGCCUACAGGCUUCCUUUGGCAGGGAGGGCCUCAGCCUUGGCCACACCUUCCCUGCUGGGCUCUGGCCUCACUUUCCUUUGUCUGGCCAACCCUGUUCCCCACCACCUUUUGGAAAAGAGUGUACAUUCUUGGCCCUGAUAUCCAUGUAACCUGCUUCCCACAAAACAGGAUGGUUGGCAGGCUGACUCAGCUAGCACCCUGGUGGGAAACAGGACAGUGGGCCUCAGCUCCAGCUUUUCUUUGCCUGUAUUCCUUGGGGAGCUGGGCUGCCUUGGCUUACCUGGGUCAGAAAUAACCUCAGCUUAAGCAGCAGCCUCGAGCUGUCAGACAGAGGCAAGAGCUUUGAGCUCCUGCAGUUGGGGGCACAAAGAAGGGGACAAGCCCUUUCCCAGGAGUCUGAUCAGGGUUAGGGUUAACCCCACUUAGCUGGGGACCUUGGGGAAAGCCAUCCGCCUCUCAACCUGUUGCCUCAUUUGUUCAAUGGUAAUAGUGACCUGCAGGACAUAUCUAGUUUCUAGGCUUAUUUGAAUGUAGGUACGAAGUGGUCCCUUCUCCUCCCCUUCCGGAAAGGCACUUCCAGCAGAGAAGUCUGGGAGAGGUCUGCUUGCACUGUGCUGCCAGGAAGUGAGGUUUGGGUCUCAGUGUGUUGGAUGGUGCCUUCCAUCCUGGAUCUCUACAAAGAAGACUUUUCCUUCAGUUUCCUGUCUGGCCCUGUUGCCCUGCCAGACCCCGUUGGGAUGGGGGUUUUGCACUGAGACCUGCUUGCCCUGCAUGCCUCUCUGGCCUGGCCCAUAGAGGCACCUUCCCCUCCUUGAGGUUCAUCCUGCAAGUCCAGACACCAUGCGCUCCAAGGCCGCACUCUGGGCCUGGGCCAGAGGAGCCGCUGCAGAGCUCCUCCACCGCUGCCAGCCUCUUGGGGUGCGGGUGCCCGAGCACAGGCAGGGAGGGCUCUCUGUUUGCCUUGGCUGGUGGGGGAGACAUUAGCGCUUGCUUUCUGUUUUGUAUCUAACAGGCAGAGCCUGUGAUGUUCAGAAAAGCAGCCUUGGGCCUUGAGUGAGUUUGGGACAUAUCCCCGAUGGCCUGGCCCCUGGAGGUGUUGAGGUUGGAAUGGCUGAUCUGGGUAUGUGGAGAGACGUGAUGGCUAUCUGCUGGCCUUCCCUACCCAGCACCCAUGGCCCUUGUUUCUCAUAGUGCUUCUCUUUUCCUCCAGGGGAUUACUUCUCCCUGACCCCAUACCCCUGGGGUUCAUGUGGGGCCAACUCUACCACUCUGGCUUGAAAGGCAGCCAUGUAUCCAGGCUGGACACGGAGACUUUGCUGUUGGGACUGUUGCAGCAGCUAUGUGGAAAGAGGCAUUCCAGAUUCCACAGUUUGAAAGAUUAUAUCUACAAAACCACUGCAUUCAUGAAGCCAGAGCCACUUUUCCCAACUACAUAACAAUGUAUCCAGAACUAUCUGAGCUGAUACUGUAAGCAAGCUCGAUGAAGACAUGGAGUUGAAAUCACUCUAGCCAGAAAGAGAGACCUGCUUUUUCUUUUUUUGGCUUGGGACCCACAGAUGCUUCAGCCAGAUCUCUUUCUUGGUCUUCUCUCUGCCCAAGUCAGCUCUUGGAGGGUGAGGAGAGCAUUUCGCCAAUAUGCAUGCUGUGAGCUCGACCUGGGUCAUCUCCUUUGGGACUCAGAGUCAUCCCUGGGUGCAGCUGUGCUGAAGACAGAUGCACCUCUGGGCCUUCCAAUUUUUGAGCCAGUACAUCCUUUCCUUCAUUUGAGUCAGCUUGCAGGUGAGAGAGUCCCGGCUAAUACAGCUUAGCCAGACCACGCCCUUCAGUGGCGCUUCCCCAAGUUCCCCGAAGCAAAAUCAACUAACGGCCAGUCCAGUUCACCUCCCUGGGGGUGGAGAGCCACUACUAAAUGCUUUACAUACAACAUCUCACAUCCUCUCAACAACUCUAGAGGAGGUACUGUUAGCCCCAUUUUACUGAGAGGGAAACUGAGGCAUGCAGAGGUCAAGACACAGCUGGAAUGUGGGUGUAUCACAUCCAUCUCACGUGCCUCUGCUGAUUCUCUCGGCUACACUGUCCACCCAACUCCUGGCUGCCUGCUCUGCCCCAGCCACGCUGUCCCACAAUUAAAGCUGACCAGCUGCCUCCGCAGAGGCUCCCGCCUGCCAGACCACAUCCCAGGAUGAGGGGUCUGGCUCACGAAUGGCUGCCAAAGAGGCUGGAGAACACCACCCAUGAGUGUAGAGGGGACACUCUGGGCGAAAAACUUGGGGACAAACUGAGCAAUUGGAGACAUGAUGGGAGGAUACAUUCCUUCUCCUCCCUCCCCUGGACCCUUUGAGGCACAUUUUCCAUAUGUGGUUUGUAAAGCAGAGGCAAUGAUUAUACAUCAUCUCACAUUGCUUUCUCUCCUUGCCUACAUCCCCUCUCUUUUCCCUACGCUGCUGCAGUGGACAGCAAACAAGAGGAUAGCUGCAUUACAUGUCGCUGCCAGGGGGGUGGGGACUCCAUGGGGGACAAGGGCAGUGCUAAACUGUGCUAAAUUUCAGAUUAUUCCCCUUUCUCUCUCCUCCAUUCACUAGGUCCAAUCAGUCAGAUCCUCUCUGACCUCCUGCCGUAUUUAGAGGCUAUGACCUCCCCCACCAAUCUCCCUGUUUGAUACAGAAGAAUCUGUAUUCUGUGAUGCUCCACUUGCUAGGUACUUAGCCUCUCUGAGCUGGUUUCCCCAUCUGUAAAAUGGGGAUAACAAAUUCUCACCCCACAGGCUUACCUGACAGUUUCGUGCCUAGCACAUAGUAGGGGGCAUUAUGGAGGCUGCCUGUCCACCAUUAUCUCUUCCAGUUAGCCCUGCCCUCUUUUGGAAACCACCUGUCCUCUAAAUCUCAGGCCCAGUUCCUGCUGGGUAAACUGGGCUACCCCCUACCCCAUUGCCACACCUGCCAUCAGAUCUAGGCCAAUGAACACACCCCAGUAUUGGCUCAGGCCUGGGCAUGAGACCUAAGGUCUCUGUAACAGUGUCCUGAAAUUUCUAGAACAACAAGGAAAGAGGUGCUUGUUCUUUGCUGAGACCAUUUGCCUGGAGCCAUCAGAGACUAUUUACUUUUUAGCCUUUAGAGAUUGAAGUCGGAAGAAAGAGCCAAGAGAUGGGUCCGGACACAGCGUCCUGAUGACGUCUUGGAGGACCUGGAUCCAGCGAUGACAGAAGCUAGUUAACCCCUGGUAUUUUCCAGAAUGAGCCCUCAAUCAUCCCUUAUUUGUUCAUACAUUCAUUAUUAAAAGUGUCCAUUAUAGACUCCUAUCUUAUACCAAUCACAAAAAUUAACUCAAAAUGGAUUAAAGACGUAAAUGUAAAACUGGAAACCAUAAACCUCGUAGAAGAAAACAUAGGAAACAACCUCCUCAACAUGGGUCUUGGGAAUGAUUUUUUGGACGUGACACCUAAAGCAAGCAACAAAAUAAAAAAUAAAUGGACGACAUCAAACUAAAAGGCUUCUGCACAGCAAGAGGAAUGAUCAACAAAAUGAAAAUACAACCUAUGGAAUGGGAAGAAAUAUUUGCAAACCUGAUAAGGAGUUUGCAUAUCUGAUAAGGAGUUUGUAUAUCUGAUAAGGAGUUAACAUCCAAAAUAUAUAAAGAGCUCAUACAAUCCAAUAGCAAAACAACAAUCCAAUUAAAAAAUGGGCAGAGGACCUGAAUAGACAUUUUUCCAAACAUACAGAUGACCAACAGACACAUGAAAAGAUUCUCAACAUCAGUAGUUGUCAGGAACAUGCACAUCAAAACCACAAUGAGAUACCACCUUACACCUGUUAGAAUGACUAAUACGAAAAGGCAAGUGAUAACAAGUGUUGGUGAUAUGGAGAAAAGGGAACUCUUGUGCACUGUUGGUGGGAAUGUAAAUUGGUGUAGCCCCUGUGGAGAACAGUACAGAGGUUCCUCAAAAUUUUAAAAAUAGAACUACCAUAUGAUCUAGCAAUUCCACUUCUAGGAAUAUAUUGGAAGGAAUUGAAAACACUAUGUUGAGAGGAUAUCUGCACUUACAUGUUACAGCAGCACUAUUUACACUAGCCAAGAGGUGGAAACAACGUUAAGUGUCCAUUGACAGAUGAAUAAAGAAAAAGUAAUAUAUAUGUAUAUAAGUGUGUAUAUAUAGUCUGUAUAUAUAUACAUGUAUACACACACACACACUGAUCUCACUUAAAGAAUCUAUAUAAGUAUAUAUAUACAUAUACUGUAUGAUCUCACUUAUAUAGAGAAUCUAAAAAACAAAACUCUCAGAAAAAAAUACCAAAUUUGUGGUUACCAGAGGUGGGGGUAGGGACAGGUGGAAUUGGAUGAAGGUUGUUAAAAGGUACACAUUUCCAGUUAUAAAUAGGUACUAGGGGUAUAAAGUACAACAUGAGGACUAGUUAACACUGCUGUAGACUAUAUUUGAAAGUUAAGGUAAAGUUGUUAGAUCCUAAGAGUUCUUAUCACAAGGAAAAAACAUUUUCUUUCCUUUUUCUUGUACCUGUAUGAGCUGAUGGAUGUUAACUAAACUUACUGUGGUAAUCAUGUGACCAUAUAUUCAAAUCAAGUUAUAUGCUGUACACCUUAAACUUUUAUAGUGUUGUAUAUUAACUGUCUCUCAAUAACACUGGGGGGAAAGUAGCCGAUAUGCUAGGUACUCAGGAGAGAUGCAGAAAUGAGUAAUACUUUGCCUGCCUUCAGGGAGCUUCUGUUCUAGUGGUGAUGUAUGAGGACACUUUGGUACAAUUAGGUUAUUUUAGAAAUUUGGAAAAAUUCCUGGUAUUCUUCUGUAGACUGUAUGAUGAAACAACUCUGAGGACUGUAUUUUCAUUUUAAGCUAAGUUGGAACUAACCAACUUAUCUUCAAAGAAAAGGUGGCACUGUAGGCAGGUGGCCCUGGGUCUCUGGGAGAGUAGGGAAAUGCCUGCUCUGUGCCGAGCUCUGUACAGCAGACCCCUGAACAAUGUGGGGGUUGAGACAAUGACCGUUCCAUGCAGUCAAAACUCCAUGUAUUACUUUUGGCCCUCCCAAAACCUGACUACUGAUAGCCUGCUGUUGACCAGAAGCCUUACUGGUUACAUAAAUAGUCGAGUAACAUAUAUUUUGUAUGGUAUAUGUAUUAUACACUAUAGUCCUACAGUAAAGUAAGCUAGAGGAAAAGUCUUUUCAAAUUUGUUGCACAUCUCGAAAAAAUUUUCCGAUACGUUUACUGAAAAGAACCCAAGUAGAAGUGGAACUGAGCAGUUCAAAUUCACGUUGUUCAAGGGUCAUCUGCACUCAGCUUCCCAAACCAAUCCAUUUGGUAAAUUACAAUUAUUGUCCCAUUCUACUAAUGGAGAAAUGUAAAUUAGGGGAGAGGAAAUCCCGGGGCAAAAUACUUCUAAAAACUGAAAUCAGUUAAAGGGAGAAAUAAAGUUUAAAACCCGUUUAUUUCUCGCAAACUGCUGUCCCAGUCCAUCUUUCUUUGCUCCAGCAGCAACCACACCGGCCCUCCCCCUCACCUCUCAGGUACAGAUAAGCCCUCUGUUACCCAGGUAAUCACUCAUUGAUAUGGAGAUGAACUUCUCCACCCCUGAGGAAAGAUGCAAAUGAACUAAAGCCAUACUUCUUUCCACCUCUGAAUGCCUAUUGAUAUGCAGAUAUACUAAAGCCAGGCGAAAUAUUCUGUAAAUGUUUCAAUUUUACCCACAAUAAAUAAGCUCAGAGAGAUGAAGUAAUUUCCCUGAGCAGAAAUGGGAGCUGGACCCAGUUCACCGUGCCACACCUGGGAGCCUCUGGGGUGCCAUUGGAAGUGAUAAGGCCUCAGUGUCCCCGCGGCAGCACGUGCUUGUCCUCCCGCUCCCAUGUGUGACAACCCUGUGCGAGCAUCACUGGGGCUCUUUCCACAUUCUCCCUUGGAUAACAGCUAUUCGUUCCCUUAUCUCCAUCUCCCAUCCCAGUAAAGGUUCCAUGUUGCUAUGUCUUCCACACCUGGCACCCCUGACCAUGGCCUGGCCCAUGGCAGUCUCAGUGUCAUGAGCAUCUACUGGUUUAGUCUCCCAGCAUUCCUUCUCCCCUUCUUUCAAGAACUGCUUCCCUGGAGAACUGCUCCUCUACCACUCUGUCUGGGCCUGGGGUAUUUCAGCCUUCCUGACAAAUGGGGUGGCGGUGGGUGGGUUGUCACGUGGCCCUGAUGACCCCAGUCACAGUGCAGCAUGCCCUGGAUGGGUCCAAAGGCUGGGCCUAGGAUCGGAUCAGAGUCCUUCCCUUAAAUACUCUGUAUUUCCCCCUUGGUUCAUGAACUGCAAGCCUCAGGCUCCCAGAGCCUCCGGUGGCCAUGUGAUAAGGGUCUGGGAGAAUGAGGCCCUGAAGCAGUCAGCUGAGAUCGGCCCCUCUGCCUUUCUUUCCACA